rnacentral:rRNA from 1 species
AUUGAACGCUGGCGGCAGGCCUAACACAUGCAAGUCGAGCGGAUGAAGGGAGCUUGCUCCUGGAUUCAGCGGCGGACGGGUGAGUAAUGCCUAGGAAUCUGCCUGGUAGUGGGGGAUAACGUCCGGAAACGGGCGCUAAUACCGCAUACGUCCUGAGGGAGAAAGUGGGGGAUCUUCGGACCUCACGCUAUCAGAUGAGCCUAGGUCGGAUUAGCUAGUUGGUGGGGUAAAGGCCUACCAAGGCGACGAUCCGUAACCGGUCUGAGAGGAUGAUCAGUCACACUGGAACUGAGACACGGUCCAGACUCCUACGGGAGGCAGCAGUGGGGAAUAUGGGACAAUGGGCGAAAGCCUGAUCCAGCCAUGCCGCGUGUGUGAAGAAGGUCUUCGGAUUGUAAAGCACUUUAAGUUGGGAGGAAGGGCAGUAAGUUAAUACCUUGCUGUUUUGACGUUACCAACAGAAUAAGCACCGGCUAACUUCG